GGGGUGGAGGUUGAGUACCUGAUCCACCACGCCGACCUGGACCAGGACGGGGCCCUGAGCCGGGAGGAGAUUUUGGGCCGUUGGGAGCUUUUCGUGGGGAGCCGAGCCACGGACUACGGGCAGGACCUGCACAGGGCCCACGACGAGCUCUGAGCCCCAAAAACACC